GACUACAGGGGUAUCUAAUCCUGUUUGCUCCCCACGCUUUCGUGCCUCAGUGUCAGUGUGGUCCCAGACCGCUGCCUUCGCCAUCGGUGUUCUUCCUGAUCUCUACGCAUUUCACCGCUACACCAGGAGUUCCACAGUCCUCUAACCCACUCAAGUCGCGCCGUUUCAACCGCCAUUCCCAGGUUAAGCCCAGGGCUUUCACGGCUGACUAACACCACCACCUACGCACGCUUUACGCCCAGUCAUUCCGAUUAACGCUCGCACCCUCCGUAUUACCGCGGCUGCUGGCACGGAGUUAGCCGGUGCUUAUUCCGUGGGUAAUGUCAUAACACCCGGCUAUUCACCCGGCAUCGUUCUUCCCCACCUAAAGGGCUUUACAACCCGCAGGCCGUCUUCACCCACGCGGCAUUGCUGGAUCAGGCUUGCGCCCAUUGUCCAAUAUUCCCCACUGCAGCCACCCGUAGG
rnacentral:rRNA from 1 species